ensembl:lncRNA
CCCCCAGCUUUGAUGUAUACUCUAUGAGGCAGAAACCCUGCUGUCCUUCCUCACCAUUCACCGUGAGCAGGGUCUAUAACAUACUGGAGGUACAGCAGGUGCUCAUGAAAUAUUUAUUGAGUGAAUUAUGGCAGUGGUGACAAAUACCUUAUUUCUCCACAAGGCUUUAAACCAUAGCUAUAAAGUGUGGUAAAAAAUGUAUGACUGUGAAAAAAUUUUUAAUUAUUACAAUAAGAGACAUACUGUCAUUAAUCCCCUUCAAAAUACUUUUUUUUGCUUUGAACACAUUUAUCUCAUCAUUCCUGCCGCUUCCUGAAGCACUUCUGGAAGUCUUCCUUUGUGAGGGUCUUUAAUCGUGCUAUCACACCUGCCUUGAUGUCCUGAAUCUAUCCAAAACAUUUACUUUUCGUGGUCAUUUUGGCUUGGGAGAAGAGCCAGAACUCUGUGCCAGAUCCAGGGAGUAAGGUAGGUAAAGACACAGCACCAUAUUUUUAUGGGCCUGCCUUUCCCUUGGAUAGCACUCAGCAGCAGCCGCCGCCUCUGUUCCUGAUCACACUUUGUAAAGACACUCAUGAAAGAGGACUUCCAGAACUGCUUCAGAGAGUUGCAAGAAAGAUGGGAUAAGCAUGUUUAAAGCGAGGGGGAGUAUUUUGAGGGAGAUUCAUGACAAUGUGUCUUUACUAUAAUAAAUGUUCAGGAAAAAUAUAUAUUCAUAUUCACCAUAUCUUUUGAUCACACCACAUAGAUGUUUUCAGCCUUGCCCCAAAUCUGCCAGGUUCUGAUUCGGCCCGUCUGAGGGGGUUCUCAUGCCUCCAGUCCCCUCAGGGCUGUAGAUGUCCAAUGCCGUGAUUUAGGCUCUGGAGAGGAAGAGAACCAGACAGAGGUCACCAGAGCUGAGCCUCUCACUGUCCUGCCCCAGGUGGCCUGGCUCUCCCUGGCCAGCCCUGCAACCAGGCCCCCAGGUUGGUGUUGGGGCUGAACACAGAGGAAGCAGUGGCUGCUGAGCUCACGGAGUCUGGCCAAGCCACGUCUGAGAGGCCCUCUCGGGAGGAGAGGCAAGGCAUGGGCCGUGGUGCCCUGUGGCUUUUUCCUCCUGGCCUCAUAAACAUCCAUCUCUGCUAGGAGACGCUAUAUUCAGUGGGAAGCUGAGAAACUGAAAUCGCAACCAGACAUAAAUACGGGGCAUCCCCCCCUUCCUCUGUGGGGAGCGGCAGCCUAGCCCGGCAGACACAGCAGGUGGAGGGGCUCCCACCCCAAGACAGCCAGGGCCACAUCACCUGCUCCCGGCACAGUAACUGGCCCACGUGACAUAACCCUUGCUCUUCUCUGUGCCCAGGCACCAGCUAUGACAGCUACAAGCUGUUUCUCCGUGGGCAAAUCACUCAACCGCUCUGAUCCCCCCCGGCCUCGUGGGGGAAAUACGUGAUAAAAGCACCUGCCCCACGGUGCUCACAGAGCACAGAGAACACGCUCCACAAGGCUCUUAGGACAGCGUCUCUCUCAGCACAUUUCUAAAAAUAUGCUUUAUUGGAUUUCUCCUUUCGAGCUACAGAGGCAGUACACGUCCCUGACAACAUGCCCAUCGGCAGAGAGGUGAGCGGAAGAAAAGCUCUCAUCUGCCUUCCCUCCAACCUCCCGGGCCCUGCCCGCCCCCACGAGUUCCCGCAGGAGGUGACAGUCAGCGCUUUGCCUUCUCCGCUCUUCAGGGCCCUUCUCGGCACGUGCGGCUUCAUUUUUACAGAAAUGGCCCAAUUUCGCAUGCCUUUCCCGGGCUAGUGUAGCUCUCAGAGGUCCGCGUGAACUUCUGAGUCCCCGCUGGUGGCAGCCGGGCCACGUCCCUGUCCAGCCCAGCCGCGCUGCAGGACCCGUCUCCCGCCUGCUUUCUCUGGGCGGAGCCGCAGGGCACCGGGCAAAGGGCGCGGUUUUGUGCUCCGGCCCGGGCCGUGCCGCGGACCAGGUGAUCUGAGCGGCCCGGCCCAGCAGCGCGGGCCACACUGGCUCCGGGUCUCCGGGGGGCGCUCCCUUCCUGACACCAGGCUGGACACACGAGCGAAGGCCCGCGUCACCUUAUCCCUUGCCACGGCCCAGAGGGACAGGUGAUGGGUGGGGUGGGCGGCAGGUGAGGUGAGGCCUUGGGAUUGGGCCCCCAGACUCUGAGCAGUGAAGCCCGCGGGUGUCAGCCCAGGAAUGCUCCUGUGCGCCGCGGCUCUCAGGCAGGUCCCUGGGUGCCGCUCCUCACCGAUGGUCACAGACCGACCCAGAGAACGACACACGGGGAGCCAGGUGGAGGGGACACCUGGGCAAAGGCCCCGCCCAGGCCACUCUGGCUCCCAGACCAGGGUCUCCUCCCUGGCCAGGCCUGGGUGCUGUCCCCUGAGCUGGCUCCCUGCGCGCCACCCUUACCUCAUGUCAUCCGGUUACUCGGCCAGCAAUUAUUGAGCGCCUCCUGUAUGCAGGGCACCGUGCCGUGCCAGGGGGUGUGCUGGGUGAACAGAUGAGGCCACAUCCUCCCGGCUACCAGGGUCCUCCAAACAUGCCACAUCCCGUCCCGGGAACUGUGCGGACCGUAGUUACUUCAGGGGCGCAGGGGACUUGGCAGGCAGGAUUACAUGGGGGUUGAGAGAUGAGAUAAUUACUCCGCAUUACCCCCUCGGGGCCCAUAUCAACGCAGCCCUUCCCCGAGGGAGGCAGGAAGGCCAGCAGGAGAAAGUGGGGAGGGAGGCAGGGAUCAGAGACCUGAGGAGUUGCUCCCGGAGGGAGGGCCAGGGGCCCAGGAUGCCAGCGGCCCAGAGCCCCUCCCCUCGCUUCCAGGAGACAGGCAGCCCCGUCCUGUUCUAGACUUCGGCCCCCAGAACUGUAAGGUAAGAAGCGUGCAUUGCUUUAAGCUUCCAGUUUCUGGAAAUCUGUGACACCACCCUCAGGAAACUAAUACAAACGUCUAGCAAGAGGAGGCAGAUCCUAAGUUCCGUUAGGACAAGAUGUGAAAUCUGGUGAGAACACAGUGCAAGAGAAAGCACAGCCCCUCCUGAUGAGAAAGGAUCGCGGGUUUCAGAUCAGCGACAGCAGAGCAUUCCAAGUACCGGCUCCUCUGUGCACACAGCCUCGUACAGCUGCCCGGGUCGCACACUCACCGAGCCUGCCCUGAAUCCCACCACCAGGAGUCCAGCGGAGCAAUCAGGGCAGAAGUAAAAGCACAGGGUCCCGAGAGAGUGUGGGACCGUGGGGAAGCCAGGCUGGGGUGCGCAGAGCUCUCUGAGGGCCACAGUUUGCUCUGGGGCUGGGGAGUGGGAGGUGUGGGAGGGCUCUGCGCCCCCUCACCUGGAGAAGCAGCGCAUCCCCCCGCAUCCCCCGCAUCCCCGGCGGCGAGGAGCGCCCUUCCGCCUUCCCAGGCUUGGCCUCUCCUCCCCUCCCCCUCCCCUCCCCUCCGGCCUUCCUUUAAUUUCCUCGGCUGGCUUUAACACCGCCCCCCUUCCGGGGUCAACUCCGCCCUUCACCUCUGUCCCUGUGGACCGUUUACAGUCAGCUCAGCGUUGGGGUACCUUUGGACUGAGAGUAGCGGAGGUGGUGUGGGGCGCCCAUCCACCUUCCCCCAAGACGCCGCCUCCCCUGCCGCCACGGAAGCGGAGAAGCGGAGCUCGCACGCUGCUAACCAGAGCCCGUGCAUCCCCCUCUUCCUCUUCCGCUCCAGGGCGCAGGUGCUCCCCUCCUGUCCUUGAGUUAAUCCAGGUGCCACAACGCCCUGGGCUCAGCGAAACUUGCUUAAACCUCCCCGGAUUCUCACCCUCACCUGCUCUCCACUUCGCGAGGAGAUGGAGGCCCAAGGUGCUGAGGAGCCACCCCGUGAAAACAUCUGGUUCCCCCAGGGCCGUUGCUCUGCCCAGCACUCCAGUGUCCCUCCUCCCAGAGCUUUCCAGAGAGUCAGUGCAGGCUCUCUCCUCCCUUACUCUCUGCUUAGUAUUUUUUCUCAAAGCAAAUUUAUUUUUUUAAAUCAAAAAUAGUUUUGUUUCUGUGGUACUGGGAGCUGAACCCCGGGCUUUCACACUGAGCUACAUCCCCAGCCCUUUUUUUAUUGUCUUAGCCGCUCAGGCUGAGCUUGAACUUGACAUCCUCCCGCCUCAGGCUCCCAGAGUGCUGGGAUUGCCGGCGGCGUGUGUCACCGCCACAACCAGCCUCGAGAGUGGUUUUUGAAGGCUGCCGCACCACGCGCUAUCCUGGCUGUAACAGCAAGGAGGAAGAGGGCACUUCAUCCUACGUUCAAGCAGAUACUGGCGCCAGGGUUCUGGGUGAAUGCAGAUGGGCCCCUCCUCUGCCCCUCAAGAAUGGCUCUCUGUCCUGGGGAGUCACUGGCUGGGGCUGGGGAUGAACCCAGGUGAGUCACCUGCAAAGGUAAACACUAACUGGCUCCCUGUUUCCUAAGCACCUACUUGGUGCCAGGUGCCGCGUGGCAUCUGACAGGCUUUGAGGUUAGUCCUGUUUAUGAACCCUGUUUCACAAAGGUUCAGGGAAGCAAUGGGGCUAGGCCAGGGGUGCACAGAAGUCAGGGGGAUCUGAACAAGUCCCCUGCCACCUUCCAAUCACCUCUGAUCACGUCUCCUCAGGAGAUGCCAGGGGCUUGUCUCUGGGGUGACCGGGAGGCCGAGAACUUCCUCUGGUUCUGACAGAGCUUUCCAGAAUCCGACAGCUCCUUGAGUGUCCUGCACAGGUUGCUUUAGGCAAAUCAGUGUAGGAAGAGAUAUCUUCCCUACAAAGCCGCUGGGGCAAGGCGCAUGGCAGGGGCUGGAAAGGCAGCACCAUUUUCUGCAGCUUUGGCUGCAACCAGCCCCAAGGCCUGGUAGGUAGAAGUUUCUGGAAAAGGCCUCAUGGAGCAGGAAGCGGAUGGCCUCUGAGCAGAGCAGGUGCGGAGGCCCAUGUUGUGGUCAUCUGCACCUCGACCUCAGGCAGGUGUUGUGAGUGCAGCCCAGGGCUGGAUGUGAAGCCAGGGAGGGGCUGCGUUCCAGGCUCCUCACUGUGGGUCUCCAGGAAGUGGAGCCCAAGGGCCAGGCAGAACGGGAGGUGGGAACUGGCUCUGACUCCUUAUCCCUGCCAUUCUGUGUCCGCAUCCCAGCCCACGGGGACCUGAUGCUGACAGCCUUUAACUCAACCCCCUGGCCCCAGUUGUCAUAGAGGGACACUCCGGGAUGCAAGACUCCCAAGUCUCCCCGUGCUGUCAAGGAGAGGAGGAGCGCCCCCCCCCCCUGAACUGAGUCAGGGCAUGAGGACACAGCUACCCAGACGGGAGGCUCCCGCAGCUCGGCCUCACUUCCUGCCACCAGAGGGCUGUUUCAAAGCGAGGUGUGUCAGGAAACCCACUGGCCCCCAGCACAGCGAGAGCCUCACUCUAGUUGCCUGCCCUGCCCAUCACGAACGCCACCCCCUGGGCCUCGGUUACCUCCUCCCGUCAUCGGAGCAGCCCAGGGUGGGAACUGCUCUUACCCUCUCCCCUCCAGGGAGGAACUCAAACGGAGAGAUUGAGCUACCACAAGAUGGGCCUGAUCCAGUGUGAUGUUCAGACCUCAGCAGCCACAUUCAAAACAUGCUUUUGUUUUAAACACGUUGACGUCUUUUAAGUUUGAAAUUUUAGAGAGCAUGUCUGUAUUUUCCCCCCUAAAAAGCAAUGAGCACGCCUGUGUCCCCCUGCCAGCCCCAUUCCCCUGACGACGACGCACGUCCCAACUCCACAAGUGACAUGCAGCCACUCAGUGCGAGUCCAAGCUAAUACAAA